rnacentral:lncRNA from 1 species
UUCGUUAACACUGAGAAGAAUAUUGACAAGUGUCCACUGUGAAUGUUGCUGCAGCAAAUUAACCUUCUAUUCACUUGUAAUAAAUUGAUACAUUUAAUAUAAGAUCAUUUGAUAAAUUAAAAUGUAACUUUUGCAUUAGACAAAAGCAACAUUAACACCAACAAAGGCUCCAGUCGGGCUUGAUAUCAAAUGAGAUGUUGGGAGGAGUGAUUGUUGCUCAUGUUUCCGCAUUCCCGAGUCUUUGUUCCGGCGCAGCUCGCUGAGGGCCGGCGCUGGUUCAGGUGCCACCUUCUAUAAAAGGAGCAGCAGGUGAGAGCUGCCGAUGCGGAGUUGCUGCCCAGUUCGCUGAGAGUUCAUCGCUCUCACUCUCAAAGGUCUGGACCUGGACCUGGACACUGCCAUGGGGGACCCAAACGCAGGAGAAGGAACAAGAGAGGCCACAAGCACAGGAAGUGUCACAAGAAGGGGAAGGACUGUCAUGGGUCAUCCAGCAGCUCCUGCAGCAGCAGCAGCGACUCAGACUAGAUGAAGCCCGGUUGAAGGGAGCAGAACCAGAACACCUGGACGCCUUCCUUCAUCUGCCGACCUUUUUCUUCAUUUUGUCCUAAAAGCCCAUAACAUGUUCUUGGUCCAAAAUCUGUAAAACAUUCAUUUUAUCUGAUUGUGUAUGACCUUGGAUUAAACGAGAGAUUCAAAAUUGUGUUUCUUCUUUGACUCCCUAAAUAUCCUAGCAAAAGAAGUUAAUUUUUUUUAAAAUUUUAUUGGGUGAAUUGACGUGAUAAGUUGUGGGUGUGGUUCUUACUUCGACCACUAGAUGGACAUAAAGAGGCGCGUGUUUUAAAGAGUGUUGACCAGAAUCCAUCAGCGAUCAGACAUAAAUCGGAAUAAAUCUGAUCAGAUUAUGUGAUUCUGCCUGGAUGAAAUGUUGGCUGACAGGUUUGUCGUGUCUUUAAAAGGUCUCAAUAGACAAAAACAAAACACUUUCUUUACAGAA